CAGUCGCCGCGGGAAUACAGAGGGUGCGAGCGUUAAUCGGAUUUACUGGGCGUAAAGCGUGCGAAGGCGGCUUCUUAAGUCGGAUGUGAAAUCCCUGAGCUUAACUUAGGAAUUGCAUUCGAUACUGGGAAGCUAGAGUAUGGGAGAGGAUGGUAGAAUUCCAGGUGUAGCGGUGAAAUGCGUAGAGAUCUGGAGGAAUACCGAUGGCGAAGGCAGCCAUCUGGCCUAAUACUGACGCUGAGGUACGAAAGCAUGGGGAGCAAACAGGAUUAGAUACCCCGGUAGUCCCUGUCUCUUAUAC
rnacentral:rRNA from 1 species